GCUCUUCCGAUCUUAGGACAUCGCCCUCUCACGGCGAAGACAGGGGUUCGAGUCCCCUUGGGGCUACCA
rnacentral:tRNA from 1 species